rnacentral:rRNA from 1 species
UCGACGGAGAGUUUGAUCCUGGCUCAGGACGAACGCUGGCGGCGGGCCUAAUACAUGCAAGUCGAACGCACUCGACCUUCGGGUCACAUGAGUGAGUGGCGAACGGGUGAGUAACACGUGAGAAACCUGCCCUGAAGACCGGAAUAACCCGAGGAAACUCGAGCUAAUGCCGGAUAUCCCCAUCUGGUCGCAUGGCCUAAUGAGGAAAUGUUCAGGCGCUUCAGGAGGGUCUCACGGCCUAUCAGCUAGUUGGUGAGGUAACGGCUCACCAAGGCAUCGACGGGUAGCUGGUCUGAGAGGACGAUCAGCCACACUGGGACUGAGACACGGCCCAGACUCCUACGGGAGGCAGCAGUAGGGAAUCUUGCGCAAUGGGCGAAAGCCUGACGCAGCCACGCCGCGUGAGGGAUGAAGGCUCUCGGGUUGUAAACCUCUUUCAGCAGGGACGAAAAUGACGGUACCUGCAGAAGAAGCUCCGGCCAACUACGUGCCAGCAGCCGCGGUAACACGUAGGGAGCAAGCGUUGUCCGGAAUUAUUGGGCGUAAAGAGCUCGUAGGCGGUUUAGUAAGUCAGGUGUGAAAACUCGAGGCUCAACCUCGAGAGGCCACCUGAUACUGCUGUGACUGGAGUCCGGUAGAGGAGUGUGGAAUUCCUGGUGUAGCGGUGAAAUGCGCAGAUAUCAGGAGGAACACCAACAGCGAAGGCAGCACUCUGGGCCGGUACUGACGCUGAGGAGCGAAAGCGUGGGGAGCGAACAGGAUUAGAUACCCUGGUAGUCCACGCCGUAAACGUUGGGCACUAGGUGUGGGGUCUAGCUAACAGAUUCCGCGCCGCAGUUAACGCAUUAAGUGCCCCGCCUGGGGAGUACGGCCGCAAGGCUAAAACUCAAAAGAAUUGACGGGGGCUCGCACAAGCGGUGGAGCAUGUGGCUUAAUUCGAUGCAACGCGAAAAACCUUACCGGGGCUUGACAUGAUAGA